rnacentral:lncRNA from 1 species
UUUUUUUUUUUUUUUUUUUUUUUUUUAGAGAUAGAUAUUAUGCUCCCCGCUUCGUUUAUUUUAUUUAGAAAUAAAUUUAUCUAGAAAUGUGAAUCAACUAGGAUUCGAGCUUGGGUCUCGGAUACUAACCACCAAGCUCUUUGCCACUUGCUCUAGAGACGGUCGGUGAAAAGAGAAAUUAAUAGUGCAAUUAUAGAAUAGAGUACAAUUGUUGGAU